CUCUUAUGUCUGUGUCGUCGACAUUUGAACAUUUUUGAGCGGUCCGCUCUUUCUGACUGUAAACAAAGCCGUUCUCCACCUCCUCUAACCUGAUUGGUUGUGAGGCAGACGCUGCUCCCCCGUGUCGUUCAGGAGCCCAAACAAAGUUAGCGUGCUACAAUAUCGGACAGUAGAAACCAACCAGAAAGUUCGGAAAAUUGUCUGAAUCCUCCUUUGGCCACGACUGCCGACACAAGCAAGAAAACACUCAAACAUAAACAGUCAGCAAGAAAACAGUCAGCAAGAAAACUGUCAACAGGAAAACGGUCAACACCAAAACAGUCAACAAAAAACAGUCAACAAGAAAACAGUCAACAAGAAAACAGUCAGCAAGAAAACAGUCAACCAUAAUCAGUCAACAAGAAAACAGUCAGCAAAAAACAGUCGACCAUAAACAGUCAACACCAAAACAGUCAGCAAGAAAACAGUCAGCAAGAAAACAGUCAACAAGAAAACAGUCAGCAAGAAAACAGUCAGCAAGAAAACAGUCAACCAUAAUCAGUCAACAAGAAAACAGUCAGCAAAAAACAGUCGACCAUAAACAGUCAACACCAAAACAGUCAACACCAAAACAGUCAGCAAGAAAAC